rnacentral:rRNA from 1 species
UACGUAGGGGGCAAGCGUUGUCCGGAAUCAUUGGGCGUAAAGCGCGCGUAGGCGGCCAGAUUAGUCCGGUGUGAAAGUCAGAGGCUCAACCUUUGAAUGCCGCUGGAAACUGUCUGGCUUGAGUCCGGAAGGGGCGAGUGGAAUUCCUGGUGUAGCGGUGAAAUGCGCAGAUAUCAGGAGGAACACCAAUGGCGAAGGCAGCUCGCUGGAACGGUACUGACGCUGAGGCGCGAAAGCGUGGGGAGCAGACAGG